UUCUGACUGGUGUGAGAUGGCUUGUCAUUGUGGUUUUGAUUUGCAUUUCUCUAAUGAUCAGUGAUGUUGAGCUUUUAAAAAUAUGAUUGUUGGCUCCAUGUACCUUUAUCUAUCUCUGCCCAUGGACUUAAGAGACCACGUGCUUCAUCACACUCCAGGAAAGCAAUAGCCAUUACUAUAAAAUACAAUCUUUGUCCAAAAAAGAAAAAACUUAAAAAGGGGGUUCUUAAAGGUUGAGGGAGGGGUGGGGCAGGAGCAGGGGGGAGCAAUGUCUCUGUUACACAAUAAAAGGAGACCCCAAUAAACAUAAUCAUGCCCUCUCAGAGAGGGGAAAGUGACGCCAAGAAUGCCAACCAUGGUGUUUCAAGAAUUCCCCUCUAGUUCUCUCCAUGUCAGAGGAACCACAAGCAACCCCCUGUUGCUCCCCAAAGCUGCACAGCCCCAAAUCCCAACCUAGAUGGUCUGUCUCUUCCUGCAGGAAAUCGAGGGUGAAGUUGCUGAAUGAGACCACAUGAAGCUUUGGCCAGCCCCAGCUUUCUGAGAUCCAGCUCUCUCUGAUGCUUCUCAGUGCAGCUACUGGGUUUGAACAACGAGAGCUUCCUGUUUCCACACUCUGCCAGCUCACUAGCUGACACCUGUCAUGUCAGAGCCCUCACCUCCCUCUGUCUGGCUUUCACAGGCUGCCUGUGCUACAAGACAUGGAUCCCUGUCUCUGCUCUGCUUCUCUUAAUGGCGCUGGCUGUUGCUACCAGUGACCAAAGAUACCGGAGGCAGAAACGGGCCAGACUAGGAUUUGUUCUAUGACUCACCUGCAGAAUGAAUGGUGCAUGUGAAGCAGAUGGCAGCCAGGCUUAGCAGCACACAUGGACACAGUGCUGGUCUUAUGUUAGAAUGCUUUCAUGUUCAGAAACACAUAUACUCCAUCCCACUCUAUGCUGUACAUCCCUGGAAUAUUCUGUUGGUCCUGGAACACUGCAGACAUGAUGGAGACAGGAGCUUAAAACGUGCUUGUGUCGUGGGGCUGGGUCCCCGGCAAUUCUGUCGUCACCAUGAGAAGAUCAUGCUUGGUUGGCCCAUGACCCAUGAAAAAGAAGAGAAAUGUAAAGAGCAGAGAGCUUCAGCUAAGCCCAGCUGGGUACGAAAGCCUCUGGGUUAAAUGACCAGGGUGAUACUCUUCCUGCUGAGUGGGGUUCUGGGAGCAGGACGACUUUAGCAAGCAAGAGAGGCAGUGCCGCUGGGCACACAGGGAGCACGCUGGCAUCAUCUCUGCUCCACCUAUGGGCAGUGGAGACUUGAGCCCAUUAUUUGAAAUCUCUAAGCCCCAAUUUUCUCAUCUGUAAAAUAGCAAUAAUUAUACUAAUCUUGCAGGGAUUUCCUGAGAAUUAAAUGAGCCAAAGUAUAUGCCUAUAAAACACUCAGCACAAUUCCUGGCUCUUAGAAAAUGCUCAGUACGGUGACUGGUAAAAAAAAUUACAGCAGAACAUGGGAAGCACUGCCGGUGGAAAAUGCUGGGGUCUGAGUGUGCCCACUGCACACUUUCUGGAAAUGAUGGAGACUGUGGUACCCGGACUAGCUAAGGUCUGAGGAGUUAUAGGUAUUUAUGUCAAAACACUUGCUUGUUUUCUGUGAAUCGUGAAUCCUCAAAGGUGUUUUUGCAUGAUGCAAUUCUAUCUAGAGCAUGUAUCAUUGAGCCCACAAAUAGAUGUCAAUAUAGGUGAAUUCCAUAAUUAGUUUGGAAUCCUACACAUGUAAUAUUUGGUAACAGGAGUCUGAGCCCAGCAAGUGUUUUCUAGCACGGUUAUGUGAUGUGUGGUUAACUCUGGGUUAAUACUAUGAUCCAGCCCAGCCCUGCCUCUCAGAAAGAAAUAAAAAUUAAUGUUCAUAGAAUGACUAUAGUUGGUAUAAAAUUAUAGAUUAAUAGUUUU